GAUGAACGCUGGCGGCGUGCCUAAUACAUGCAAGUCGAACGGACAGACCCGGCUCUUGCUGGGCUGUCGUUUGCGGCAAACGGGUGUAAAACACGUGUAACCCCUCCCUGUCUUUCUGGGAUAACUUCGGAAAACGGGCGCUAAUCCCGUAUGAGCUCCUGCUCCACAUUGGGGGAUGGUAAAAUUCGGUGUUUCGGGCGGUUAUCGCUGGAUCCCCGGCUCAUUGGCUGGUAGGUGGGUUAGCGGGUUACGAAGGCAAUGAUGGGUGGGCGGCCUGAGAGGGUGACCGGCGACAUGGGGACUGAGAUACGGCCCAGACUCCUAUGGGAGGCAGCAGUGGAGAAUAUUGCGCAAUGGGCGGAAGCCUGAUGCAGCGACGCCGCGUGCGGGAUGACGGCCUACGGGUUGUAAACCGCUUUCGCCUGUGACGAGGCGUGAGUGACGGUAAUGGGUAAAGAAGCACCGGCUAACUACGUG
rnacentral:rRNA from 1 species